AAGUCGUAACAAGGUUUCCGUAGGUGAACCUGCGGAAGGAUCAUUAGAGAUUGGCCUAACGGCCGUGUCUUCAUCCACACACACCGUGAACCGUUUUGGAGCCUCUUGGGGCUUCAGACAACACACCAAAAACAAUCUGUAGAGAAUGUGAAAUAUCAUAACAAAAACAAAACUUUCAACAACGGAUCUCUUGGCUCUC
rnacentral:misc_RNA from 1 species